AAUCCUGGUGUGGCCAGACCCAAGCUGGGGCUCCAAGACGUGACCCACAAUGUUGGGAAGCUUGCUGGCCACCCUGGCUGUUUUUCCCACUGGAGAAACCAAGGCCAAAGGGAGGGGUGGUGCAGAAGGGUGCUUCAGCCUCCCCUUUGUGUUCCAGAAUUCUCUCAGUGGUCUUUUCCUUGUAUACUUGUUUUUGUGACGGGGAGCAAAGUCAGGAAUGACCUGUGUCACCAUCUUGGUGAUAUCACCUGUCACCAUUUUGUUUUAUUGGUUAGGUGUGGAAAUGCAUUUUGGACAUCUCAAACACUUCAUCUUGUGUGCAAGGAGACAUACGUGAAGGCCGCCAGCACAGAGUUGAAGGUGUUCCAUGAGAGGCAGAGGCUUCUAGGACCCGCGUCUACACUAACUGAACCUUGGAUCAUGUGUCCCUGUGCUGUCCGGGAGUGUCAUGUCAAGUUCCCAAUUCCAAAAGAUCUACCGUAUUCCUGCUCAAUAGACAGAUGGAAAAGAUUGUUUCUCCACCUGCCACGAAGUGGGUGUUUCACCAGCCCGGCACUCACACUAGACUGGACUCCCCUCCUGACCCUCUGCCUUUGUCUCCGUCCUACCACCAGCCCCUGGUGACAUGGACACGGCCCUGCUCUCUCAGAGGACUGUGACUUCCCAUCCCACCGUCACCAUCUCGGGCUCGCUUCUCCCGGUACGUGUUUCUGACUUGACUCUUCAUUUUGCUGUGGGCAGCCAGCUGACAGAUUCUGAACUCCUCCUACUUCCUCCUGCCUCCCUGAGACCCAAAUCCCUAACACAUCCCUCAAGGCCCUGGAAAGCCUGGUCCUAAUCCACUUAGGACAAGGACAUGUGGUACAGCUCUUCCUCCUGCUCUUACACACUCCGCGCUCAGAACCCAGUGUGCGCGCUCCCCUGCAGGGCUCUCUUCUGAGCUCCCACUGGGCGUCCUCACUGUCCGGGCCACUUGUUUGGCUUCCUCAAGGACCAGCUGAGAUUAUUUUCCUCCCUAAGACUACGUCCUCUUGCUUUCACCCCAGACACCGUCACUUGCAUGUAGCAAAACGUCAGACACCCCCCGCACUGUAGGGCAGUAAAGAAAAUGGGAGCGACAGACAGUUAAUGACACGUGGCCCUGAGACCUGGUUCCUAAGUUGGGAUAAUGCCCCUUGGCUGAGCGCCAGGAGCCUGUGCCCGGGGGCCCCUCAGCACCCUCCCAGAGCCGCUCUGGCCCUGAUGGGGGCCUUCCCAAGAGGCACGUGAAGGGGGGAAAGGGAGAGUCCGUCCAGCUGCCCCGGGGUUUUAGCAGCCGGAGGCAGCUGGGUUUUAGCCCAGGACUCUGUCCCCUUCUUCCUGGACACUCGAGCAGGAAGCGAGGUGCGCGGGGCUGGCGCAUUCUGGCCGAGGAGGAAGGCUUUGAAGGGAAAACCAUGGCAGAGAGGAGGGAAGAGAGAAGGGGGGAAGAGAGCUGAUCGUUUCCCGAGCUUUUCCAUAACUGUGCUGUGGCUGUGUAAUUCUCACAUGGGAAAAGAAUGCGUCCACAUUGCCAUAGAUGUUCCCAGACUGAACAGAAGGUCAGAAUGUGGCUAUUUCAGUCCCUGUAAACAAGGAAGGGGUUUAGCUAAGAACGGAGUUCAAACUUUGGAAUGUAUUAACAAGGACAUUUUAAACAGAAUACAGAGACAUCCGGGAACACGGAGCACCGAGGAGGGAUGGGGGCGGGGUGGGAGAGGGUCAGGCUCUGUUCGCAGAGCAGCUUCUCCUCACAGCCUUUCCUGAAUGGCAGUCAACGGACAGACAGAGGGAAGUAGAGGAAACAAAGCUUGCCAGAGGCAGGUCACCACUGUCCCGUGUAAGACCGUAGAGAAUGUCUGCUGUCUGAACGAAUGUUAUAGUUCUGAAACAUUUCAUGUCCCCUGUCCUUGAGCAAAAAGAUCAGCCUGUGGCCCUCAGGACUGGGCACAGCUGCUGCUGCUGGCUGCCACGGGCACGCCGCCAGACCCGGCCGGGCCUGCUCUCCCCCCACUCAACUUUGGGCUCCUUCUCCCAGCAGUAAGAAAAUUCUGUUUCCCUCCUCCUACUACAUACAGUUGGCCUAUUUACUAACGAUUUCUUUCCCAAGAGUUUCUCUAAAUGUAUUCCUUUUUAUCCAAAGUCAGAUGAACAGUUCCCUCUACCCAACUCCCAAUAAACAUGGACCAGUUUUCA
rnacentral:lncRNA from 1 species